rnacentral:misc_RNA from 1 species
CCCUAGCCCUGAUCGCAGUGAAAAUCCCGGAAGGAGGCGAGAGCCGCCUUUGGCGGAGAGCGCCGACUGAGGAAUUGCAACGUAGAGCAGGUUCCCGG